rnacentral:rRNA from 1 species
ACUACGGAGAGUUUGAUCCUGGCUCAGGACGAACGUUGGCGGCGUGCCUAAUACAUGCAAGUCAACUGAAGUUAAGGUAGCAAUACUUUAACAACGGUGGCGCACGGGUGAGUAACACGUAGGUAAUCUGCCUUCAGGUCUGACAUAACCCACCGAAAGGUGAGCUAAUAUCAGAUGAUGCAGCGGCUCGACAUCGAGACAGUUGUUAAACCUUCGGGGCCUGAAGAUGAGCCUGCGUCUGAUUAGCUAGUUGGCGGGGUAACGGCCCACCAAGGCAACGAUCAGUAGCUGGUCUGAGAGGAUGAUCAGCCACACUGG